UUGAUUACGUCCCUGCCCUUUGUACACACCGCCCGUCGCUGCCCGGGACUGAGCCAUUUCGAGAAACUUGGGGACCGCUGAUUUCCAGGCUCUCGGGCCUGCUUAUUGGUGGGAACCAAUUUAAUCGCAGUGGCUUGAACCGGGCAAAAGUCGUAACAAGGUAGCUGUAGGUGAACCUGCUGCUGGAUCAUUACAUAUACAUUCGCCCAAUGUGUAAUUUUGGUCAAAUACGCGUUUGCGCGUUCUAAACAAACGCGCAUUCUGUGUUGAAGAGCACACUCUGUGAGUAGGGUGCAAGUUGUUUGUGCGCAGUAUGCACUUUGAAUCGUCUCUAUCGGUGCAUGUCGGCAUAGAUGGCGACUAUCCGCUCAACUACCCGUGCAGUCAGCUAGCUGCUGGAUAGUUCCACUCAGUACAGAUAGAGUGGCUUUUGCGAUGGAGCGGUCAAGUAAACGGCUAACGCUGGUGUCUGUGUGUUGCUGAGCAGUCGUAUUCGUCCGUGGCUGUGAUGAGGCAAUGCGGUAGGGCCUGCUUGCGCACUUUUGCUUGCAUGGCUUAAGACUUAAUGAGCCCCCCCCCUCUUCUUGUCCAAGGGACGCCAGCAAAACCCAUUUUUUUCACAUUUUUUUUAUGAUUGCUCUCAGAAGCAAACAAGUAAAGAAUUCUAGUCUUAUCGGUGGAUCACUCGGCUCGUAGGUCGAUGAAGAACGCAGCUAACUGCGAUAAAUAGUGUGAACUGCAGAAACCUUGAACACAAAAGCUUCGAAUGCACAUUGCACCAUGGGAGUCUUAUCCCUUGGUACGCCUGGUUCAGGGUCGUAAACCAAAAACGCAUAUGAAUUGCGUACAAUUUAUUGAUGGGUUCAUCACUCGACUGUCUCUCUAGAGUGUUCCCAUAAUUCGAGCAUUCAGUUGCAAACUGGCGUGUAUGUGGGAUGGACACUUGAGCUUUGUAUGUGGGCAUACAAAUUAUAGCUCGUGGACAUCGGGGUGAAAUAUUCCCCUCGAAUCACUAUAGGCCAGCCACAGCGACUAUGCUCAUUGCACACACACACAACAGUACACACAUAUGUGUUGUGUUGUGAACAACAACUAUGUAUAUUAUUAUAUACAUUUGCAUUUUCGACCUGAACUCAGACGUGAAUACCCGCUGAACUUAAGCAUAUCAGUAAGCGGAGGAAAAGAAACUAACAAGGAUUCCCUUAGUAACGGCGAGUGAAA
rnacentral:rRNA from 1 species